rnacentral:rRNA from 1 species
GACAGAGGUGCCAAGCGUUAGGCGGAAUCACUGGGCUUAAAGCGUGUGUAGGCGGGUUCGUAAGUACCUUGUGAAAUCCCACGGCUUAACCGUGGAACUGCUCGGUAUACUGCGAGUCUUGAGCCAACUAGGGGCUACUGGAACAAAUGGUGGAGCGGUGAAAUGCGUAGAUAUCAUUUGGAACGCCAAUGGUGAAAACAGGUAGCUGGGG